rfam:Streptomyces sp. MnatMP-M17 genome assembly, contig: Ga0115259_10457
GCGUGGGUCGGCCCACUGCGUACUGGAACCAGUGGGCUGGGGGAUACCGCCGCCCCAAUCCCCGCGGGCGGUGGAUCAGUCCGGGAGGCGGCGAACGCCUCCCGGACUGAG